rnacentral:rRNA from 1 species
AUAUUGGUCAAUGGUCGGGAGACUGAACCAGCCAAGCCGCGUGAGGGAUGAAGGUACAGAGUAUCGUAAACCUCUUUUGUCAGGGAACAAAGGCGGGGACGCGUCCCCGGAUGAGUGUACCUGAAGAAAAAGCAUCGGCUAACUCCGUGCCAGCAGCCGCGGUAAUACGGAGGAUGCGAGCGUUAUCCGGAUUUAUUGGGUUUAAAGGGUGCGCAGGCGGAGGUGCAAGUCAGCGGUCAAAUUGCGGGGCUCAACCCCGUACUGCCGUUGAAACUGCAUCCCUUGAGUGCGCGAGAAGUAUGCGGAAUGCGUGGUGUAGCGGUGAAAUGCAUAGAUAUCACGCAGAACUCCGAUUGCGAAGGCAGCAUACCGGCGCGCAACUGACGCUCAUGCACGAAAGCGUGGGUAUCGA